UGGCUACAAAAUAACUUAUUUUGUAGUCAUUUUGAGUUACGAUAUUUACUAUAUUAAUUUAUAAGAUUAUAGUAACUCCUUACUAAGUGGUUUACUAUAAUAUUACGGUAAAUAUCCCCAUGUGUUAUAGUAACCUAACUAUCGUAAAUAUGUAUACAUAUUAUCGUAAAUUAGUAUAUAAAAUUAUCGCAAAUCGAGGUGGUUACAGAAUAACAUAUUUUGUAGCUA
rnacentral:pre_miRNA from 1 species